AACGAACGCUGGCGGCGUGCCUAACACAUGCAAGUCGAACGAGAAAGGGGCUUCGGCUCCGAGUCAAGUGGCGCACGGGUGAGUAACACGUGGGUAACCUGCCUCUAAGAUUGGGAUAACUCGUCGAAAGAUGAGCUAAUACCGAAUAAGACCACAGUUCCCGCGGGAACAGGGGUCAAAGGUAGCCUCUGCUUGCAAGCUAUCACUUAGAGAUGGGCCUGCGCACCAUUAGCUAGUUGGUAGGGUAACGGCCUACCAAGGCAAAGAUGGUUAGCUGGUCUGAGAGGAUGAUCAGCCACACUGGAACUGAGACACGGUCCAGACUCCUACGGGAGGCAGCAGUGGGGAAUAUUGCGCAAUGGGCGAAAGCUUGACGCAGCAACGCCGCGUGAGUGAUGAAGGCCGUCGGGUCGUAAAGCUCUGUCGGGAGGAACGAAUGCUCCUGAGGUUAACAGCCUCGGGAGGUGACGGUACCUUCAAAGGAAGCACCGGCUAACUCUGUG
rnacentral:rRNA from 1 species